UACAGAGGGUGCGAGCGUUAAUCGGAAUUACUGGGCGUAAAGCGCACGUAGACGGCUUUGUAAGUCGGAUGUGAAAUCCCCGGGCUUAACCUGGGAACUGCAUUUGUGACUGGCGAGCUAGAGUAUGGCAGAGGGGGGUAGAAUUCCACGUGUAGCAGUGAAAUGCGUAGAGAUGUGGAGGAAUACCGAUGGCGAAGGCAGCCCCCUGGGCCAAUACUGACGCUCAUGCACGAAAGCGUGGGGAGCAAACAG
rnacentral:rRNA from 1 species